rnacentral:rRNA from 1 species
AUUAAACGCUGGCGGCAUGCCUUACACAUGCAAGUACGAACGGCAGCACGGGGUUUACCCGUGGUGGCGAGUGGCGAACGGGUGAGUAAAGCAUCGGGAACGUGCCCUGGAGUGGGGGAUAACGUAGCGAAAGUUACGCUAAUACCGCAUAUUCUGUGAGCAGGAAAGCAGGGGAUCGCGAAGACCUUGCGCUCUGGGAGCGGCCGAUGUCGGAUUAGCUAGUUGGUGGGGUAAAGGCCUACCAAGGCGACGAUCCGUAGCGGGUCUGAGAGGAUGAUCCGCCACACUGGGACUGAGACACGGCCCAGACUCCUACGGGAGGCAGCAGUGGGGAAUUUUGGACAAUGGGCGCAAGCCUGAUCCAGCCAUGCCGCGUGAGUGAAGAAGGCCUUCGGGUUGUAAAGCUCUUUCGGCGGGGAAGAAAUUGCAUGGGUUAAUACCCUGUGUAGAUGACGGUACCCGAAUAAGAAGCACCGGCUAACUACGUG